UUUACUAACUUUUUAUUCUGUGAAAAUGGUGUCCCAGAGAAGGUGAGAAAUAGAUUUACCCUUGACAGCUCAUUAAACAGGCCUGGAAAAACCAUAAGAUGAAGAGAGUUAUGGUAAACGAAUAACUACCACUAUUCAGGCACUGCCAAUCCCAAUAUCUCAGUGCCCUAAAUUGAGAAGACAAAGAAGGUGUAAAUCAUUGCAUACUCUUUACAGAGCUGAAAGAUAAAGGAGAAUGCUGGUGGAAAUAGUGAAGAUCCAGGAAGCCAAGUGUUAUAUAAUUUCUUCUAUAUUUUAUAUUAUAAAACUGGCCUCAUGGUAUCACAUAAGAUAGGGCAGGGUAGGGAAUGCAGUUGUCUUAUGUGCCCAGGAAAAUAUUGUAAUGGUUUGAUUAAUACAUGGCAUCAUCUUGCCCAUAAAUUCUGAGAAAAUUUUGUGCUGUUUACCCACAAUUAAAGAUAGCUUUAAUGCUAUAUUCAGUAUCAGUUUGAAUUUCCAAAAACCACAAGAUGAGUGAAGUUAGA
rnacentral:lncRNA from 1 species